rnacentral:rRNA from 1 species
UACGUAGGGGGCGAGCGUUGUCCGAAGUUACUGGGCGUAAAGCGCGCGUAGGCGGACUCUUAAGUGAGGGGUGAAAGGUUCAGGGCUCAACCCGAACACUGCCUUUCAUACUGGGGGUCUUGAGUGCGGGAGAGGCGAGUGGAAUGGUCGGUGUAGCGGUGAAAUGCGUAGACUAUCGAUCGGAACACCCAUGGCGAAGGCAGCUCGCUGGGCCUGCAACUGACGCUGAGGUGCGAAAGCGUGGGGAGCAAACAGG